rnacentral:rRNA from 1 species
CAGUCGCCGCGGGAAUACGAAGGGUGCAAGCGUUAAUCGGAAUUACUGGGCGUAAAGCGUGCGUAGGCGGUGAGUUAAGUCUGCUGUGAAAUCCCCGGGCUCAACCUGGGAACUGCAUUUGUGACUGGCAAGCUAGAGUGUGGCAGAGGGGGGUGGAAUUCCGCGUGUAGCAGUGAAAUGCGUAGAUAUGCGGAGGAACACCGAUGGCGAAGGCAGCCCCCUGGGCCAACACUGACGCUCAUGCACGAAAGCGUGGGGAGCAAACAGGAUUAGAUACCCCAGUAGUCCCUGUCUCUUAUAC